UUUGAAAAUUUAAAUUUAUUAAUAUUUGAUUUUUUUAAAAAAUUAAUAAAAAUAAUUUUAAAUAUAUAUAUAUUUUAGUAAGUUUUAUUGAAAAAAUUUAAUUAAUUAUAGUUUAAUUGUAUUGUAAAAGAUAAUUGAAAUAAUAAUUAUUUAUUUAAAAGUAAAAUUAAUUUUUUGUACCUUGUGUAUCAGGGUUUAUUAAAUAAAUAUUAUAUAUUAUAAUUUUCUCGAAUUUAAGAGAGAUAAUAAAUUAUUUUUUUUAUUGUAAUAAAAAUAUUUAUAAUAAUUUAUUAGUAAUGAAAUGUUAUUCGUUCUUAAAAAUAUCUAGUUUAUUUAGAAAUGAAUUUAAUUCAGAUAUUUAGAUAUUAAAUUUAAUUUUUGUUUUAUUUUUAAUAAUUAAAUAUUAAUAAUUUAAGGGAUUAGCUUUAAAUUAAAAAUUUAAAAAUUAAAAUUUUAUUAUAAAUUGUAAGUUUAGAAAUAGCUAUCAGUAAUAAUUUGUUAUAAUUAAUUUAAUUUAAUUAAUAUUAUUUUAUAUAAUUUUAAAUUAUUUAUAAAUAAGUAAAUUUUAAUUAUAAAAAUUUAGUUAUAAUGAUAAAAUUAGUAUAUUAAUUAUAUUUAUUUAAUAAAUAUAUUAUUUUAAAAGAUUAUUUAAAGGAAUUCGGCAAAUAAUUUACUCGCCUGUUUAACAAAAACAUGUCCUUUUGAUAUAUAUAUAAGGUCUAACCUGCCCACUGAAUUAAUUUAAAUGGCCGCAGUAUUUUAACUGUGCAAAGGUAGCAUAAUCAUUAGUUUUUUAAUUGAAAGCUUGUAUGAAAGGUUGGACGAGGUAAAAUCUGUCUCUAUUUAAUUUAAAAUAGAAUUUAAUUUUUAAGUUAAAAAGCUUAAAUUUUUGUAAAAGACGAGAAGACCCUAUAGAUCUUUAUAUUUAUUUAUUUAUAUUUAAUUAAGAUUUUUUUAGUUUUUAUUUAAAUAAAUAUUUUAUUGGGGUAAUAAGAAGAUUUAAUAAAUUCUUUUUUAAAUAAACCAUUGAUUUAUGAAUAGAUGAUCCAAUUUUAUUGAUUAUAAGUUUAAGUUACCUUAGGGAUAACAGCGUAAUUUUUUUUGAGAGUUCAUAUCGAUAAAAAAGUUUGCGACCUCGAUGUUGGAUUAAAGAUUAUUUUAGGUGUAGAAGUUUAAAAUUUUGGUCUGUUCGACCAUUAAAUCUUUACAUGAUCUGAGUUCAGACCGGUGUAAGCCAGGUCGGUUUCUAUCUUUAUAGAAUUAAAAUAUUUUAGUACGAAAGGACCAAAUAUUUGAUAUAGUUAUAUUUUAUUUAUUGAAUAUUAGUGUUACUUUGACAGAAUAAUGUAUUGAAUUUAGAAUUCAUU
rnacentral:rRNA from 1 species